rnacentral:rRNA from 1 species
UUGAACGCUGGCGGCAGGCCUAACACAUGCAAGUCGAACGGUAACAGGAAGAAGCUUGCUUCUUUGCUGACGAGUGGCGGACGGGUGAGUAAUGUCUGGGAAACUGCCUGAUGGAGGGGGAUAACUACUGGAAACGGUAGCUAAUACCGCAUAACGUCGCAAGACCAAAGAGGGGGACCUUCGGGCCUCUUGCCAUCGGAUGUGCCCAGAUGGGAUUAGCUAGUAGGUGGGGUAACGGCUCACCUAGGCGACGAUCCCUAGCUGGUCUGAGAGGAUGACCAGGCACACUGGAACUGAGACACGGUCCAGACUCCUACGGGAGGCAGCAGUGGGGAAUAUUGCACAAUGGGCGCAAGCCUGAUGCAGCCAUGCCGCGUGUAUGAAGAAGGCCUUCGGGUUGUAAAGUACUUUCAGCGGGGAGGAAGGGAGUAAAGUUAAUACCUUUGCUCAUUGACGUUACCCGCAGAAGAAGCACCGGCUAACUCCGUG